rnacentral:rRNA from 1 species
GAGUGGCCACAUGUAGAUGCAGUACCUAUAUUGCCACCACUAUAUGAGAAAAGAUCUGGAAGGAGAAGAAAGAACAGAAGGCAGCAACCAGAGGAGAGUGAAGAUGGCACUAAACUCAGUAGACAUGGGGCUGUUAUGCACUGUGGCUAUUGCAAAGAAGCUGGUCAUAACAGAAGUGGUUGCUCAAAGUUGAAAGCUGCUGUACUAAGAGAAGAGGAAGAUCAAAAUGAGCAGACUGGGGAAUUUGGAAGUGAUCAACCUGAUCAUGGCAGAACAGAGAAUGCUGCAACUGAGCAGACAGAAUCACAUAAUAGGAGGGGAAGGAAGAGAAAGCCAACUGACAAAAUGAGGGAGCAAAUAGAGCAAAUGAGGGAGCAAGCUAAGAAAAAGAAGUCAAAGAUGGUUAUUGAUGAAAAUGGAGAUGUUGACUUCCCUAUAAUUCUAACUCACAUUCAGAACAGAACUAUGAGGCCAGAUCUUGACCCAACACAGGUUGAAGACAGCAUGAUACAUAUUUUAUCACAUGAG